rnacentral:rRNA from 1 species
UUGAACGCUGGCGGCAGGCCUAACACAUGCAAGUCGAACGGUAACAGGAAGCAGCUUGCUGCUUCGCUGACGAGUGGCGGACGGGUGAGUAAUGUCUGGGAAACUGCCUGAUGGAGGGGGAUAACUACUGGAAACGGUAGCUAAUACCGCAUAACGUCGCAAGACCAAAGAGGGGGACCUUCGGGCCUCUUGCCAUCGGAUGUGCCCAGAUGGGAUUAGCUAGUAGGUGGGGUAACGGCUCACCUAGGCGACGAUCCCUAGCUGGUCUGAGAGGAUGACCAGCCACACUGGAACUGAGACACGGUCCAGACUCCUACGGGAGGCAGCAGUGGGGAAUAUUGCACAAUGGGCGCAAGCCUGAUGCAGCCAUGCCGCGUGUAUGAAGAAGGCCUUCGGGUUGUAAAGUACUUUCAGCGGGGAGGAAGGGAGUAAAGUUAAUACCUUUACUCAUUGACGUUACCCGCAGAAGAAGCACCGGCUAACUCCGUGCCAGCAGCCGCGGUAAUACGGAGGGUGCAAGCGUUAAUCGGAAUUACUGGGCGUAAAGCGCACGCAGGCGGUUUGUUAAGUCAGAUGUGAAAUCCCCGGGCUCAACCUGGGAACUGCAUCUGAUACUGGCAAGCUUGAGUCUCGUAGAGGGGGGUAGAAUUCCAGGUGUAGCGGUGAAAUGCGUAGAGAUCUGGAGGAAUACCGGUGGCGAAGGCGGCCCCCUGGACGAAGACUGACGCUCAGGUGCGAAAGCGUGGGGAGCAAACAGGAUUAGAUACCAUGGUAGUCCACGCCGGAAACGAUGUUUACUUGGAGGUUGUGCCCUUGCGGCGUGGGUUCGGGAGCUAAAGCGUUAAGUAGACGGCCUGGGGAGUACGGCCGCAAGGUUAAAACUCAAAUGAAUUGACGGGGGCCCGCACAAGCGGUGGAGCAUGUGGUUUAAUUCGAUGCAACGCGAAGAACCUUACCUGGUCUUGACAUCCACGGAAGUUUUCAGAGAUGAGAAUGUGCCUUCGGGAACCGUGAGACAGGUGCUGCAUGGCUGUCGUCAGCUCGUGUUGUGAAAUGUUGGGUUAAGUCCCGCAACGAGCGCAACCCUUAUCCUUUGUUGCCAGCGGUCCGGCCGGGAACUCAAAGGAGACUGCCAGUGAUAAACUGGAGGAAGGUGGGGAUGACGUCAAGUCAUCAUGGCCCUUACGACCAGGGCUACACACGUGCUACAAUGGCGCAUACAAAGAGAAGCGACCUCGCGAGAGCAAGCGGACCUCAUAAAGUGCGUCGUAGUCCGGAUUGGAGUCUGCAACUCGACUCCAUGAAGUCGGAAUCGCUAGUAAUCGUGGAUCAGAAUGCCACGGUGAAUACGUUCCCGGGCCUUGUACACACCGCCCGUCACACCAUGGGAGUGGGUUGCAAAAGAAGUAGGUAGCUUAACCUUCGGGAGGGCGCUUACCACUUUGUGAUUCAUGACUGGGGUG